UGUUGCACUGUCACCACCGCUAACAAUCUGAAACAUCGCGCAGACGUGUACUCGCUCUGUAGUUUGUAGCUCGCGCUCCGGCUACUGUAAACAACUCCACCUUCUUUGAUUUGAUUGGCUAUCGCAUCAUUUUGAUUUUGACAAGCACUACUGCUGAUUGAGGCAGACAGAUAGAAAUAGGCGUUGCACAGUAUUUACAGUUAUAUAUUAGGCAAUUAUUAUGCUAGUAGUGAUUGCUAUUACACACCACGGGGAUCUUAAUGGUGGGCACGAGCCUGCGUGAAAAAUGGAUUUGGUCGUAAGAGCGUGAGAAAUUGGGUCAAUUGCGUGUGCCCUGCCAUGUAGGAGUAUUUUCUCAAGGCCUGCGACUGAGGGUCAUAUUUCAAUUCAAAGGUUUGGAAAAAUGCGUUACCCAGGAGUCAUGAAAGUUAUCUAGUACAGGAAAGUCAAGCACCUUAUCUUCUAAAAGAUGCUCUGGUGACCAGACUAGGGAUCUUGAGCAUGGUUAAGGAGAAGUUUCACAGAGCCAGUAAAGAAGUGGCUAAAAGGAUCGUUAUGAUGUCGGAUGCCAGAUCCACCUAAACUUUCAUCUAGAGCAGUGUUUCUAAAUCCUGGUCCUUGAGUACCCCCUCCUAGAAAGUUUUAUAUGACUCCUUAUUUAAAACACUUGAUUCAACUCAACAGCUUGUUAGGGAGACCUGUUAACCAUUCUGGAAGGAGGCUGAUUGGUUGUUUUAAAUAAGGAAACAUCUACAACUUUCUGGAAAGGGGUACUUGAGGACCAGGAUUGGGAAGGACUGAUCAUGACGAAGAUGGAAAGAUCCUAUUUCAUCAAAGCUAAAGAAGCAGGAGACUUGGGACACAAGUACAAGCUCACUCCAGACAUGGUUUCUGGCUUUCAGUCUUACUUGCAGGUUGACAGCGUCAGACCGUUUUUGAAGGAGGGCACAGCGUUGGAUGGCAGAUUCAAGUCAAAAGUGUCAGAUGAAGUGUGGUACAGACUGGAGGAGGAGCUGAUAUAAAUGAACAGGCUCAGGGCCAGCAGAUGAAUCAGGUGCUUAAAGAGAGAGCAGAUGACCAAGAUGACUGCAUAUAUGUUGAAGACAUCUGUGCAUCUGCCAGUGAAACAGUGAAGAGGCCAAAGCUCUCUGCCCUCGAGGAGCUGUUUGCUGUAGAGGACAUGGAAAUAAAGUAAGAAAAGAGACCACCAGCACUGAUAAGGCACUACAGAUUACUUCCAUCUCCUCAGUCCUCAGCGAGUCCAGUAACCCUGGUGGUGUGACAUGAAGGACACGGCCAAUGCUGUUUUUGAUUUGGCUACAGGGUAUCUCUGUGUGCAAGCAUCAUCCACACCCUCAGAGCGUGCAUUUUCUACUGCAUUGAAAAUGUUUUAAUGAUACCUAGCCCUAUAUCAGUGUUUCUCAAACUUUUUCAGCACAAGGACCACUUUAUCUUCCGAUUUUUUUCUGAGGACCAACUAACAGAAUCCCACUCUAACAUGCCUCCAAAAAAACAACAAAAGUGUAAUAUGAAACUGUUUCAAGUCAAAAACUAAUUUUUUUAACACAAGUGCAAUGAUAUGUUCAGAAAUUAUUAUAUGAAUUUUAUUUCAUUACAAAAAGUAAAUGUGAAAUGAGUUGCAGCUUAAUAUUAACAACAAACUGCACAUGUGAAAAAAACUGCAAUUAAACAUAACAGCCUAGGUCCCACUUAAUGUCGUUCCAAAGAGCCAUUAGUUUAAAACUGAGGUGGUGGGUAUAUGAAGUCUAUGGUUGUAACUACGGUUACAAUAAAAUGCUGAAAAAAAAUGUUCCCCUUAAUGUCCAAAAUCACUGAAAUUACAGAACUAACAGAUAUGUGGAUUUUAGCUGCUUUCAGUUGACGCUUGAUCUUUUCUUUUGACUCCUCUUUGGUUUAGCCACCGAUCCAUUUUUACGUUAUUAAAACAGAAUGGCAAGAACUGAUAUCACAGUUUCACAAGGGCAUUAAAAAUCUAUUUAAAUAAGUGACAAUUUUGUAUAAACACUUGCCUAGUUUAGGAAAUCUUUUGGCAGACCACUGGGGGGUUUGGGACCACACUUUAAGUAUUACUACCCUAUAUAAAUGUGAAGUAAAUACUUGCUUUUAUUUUAUUAUUAUAUAUUGAUGGAUUUUUUUGUUCGUAGGUACAGAUUAACUAGUAUCAGUUUAGUAACCACUGAUUAAUCUAAAUGUUUUCAAGUUAACUUCUCUUUUGUGUUCUUUUGCAGAUGCUUUCAUAAAACAUCAUAAGGUGGAAACUGUUGGACAGUUAGGACAGGCUAUGAACUCUGAGAUGGCAAAGAGAAAGGAGACAUAAGCCUGCCCCCAAUCCAAAUUUAUGCUUUGAUUUUAUAUCUGAAGUCUAGUAUUUGUUGCUGGCUGGAUUUAUGUUGUUAAUGUGCAGUUAAUGGAUAUACUAUGUAUGUGCUUAACAUAUAUAUUAUGUGCAUAAAUGUAUACCCCAUUGUUUGUAAAAUCUGAUUUCAGUGCCCACUGAUUUAUUGGGGCAGUGUGAUGAAAAUUUCGGUCAAAUUAAAUUAUUUACAAAAGCUGUGUGUUGAGUGGUUUUUAUUUGUGGGAAAUUUGUUUACACUGUAUGUGAAAUAUACUAGAGGGGCUUUCACAUAAAU